rnacentral:rRNA from 1 species
AGUGAACGCUGGCGGUAGGCCUAACACAUGCAAGUCGAACGGCAGCACAGUAAGAGCUUGCUCUUACGGGUGGCGAGUGGCGGACGGGUGAGGAAUACAUCGGAAUCUACUUUUUCGUGGGGGAUAACGUAGGGAAACUUACGCUAAUACCGCAUACGACCUACGGGUGAAAGCAGGGGAUCUUCGGACCUUGCGCGAUUGAAUGAGCCGAUGUCGGAUUAGCUAGUUGGCGGGGUAAAGGCCCACCAAGGCGACGAUCCGUAGCUGGUCUGAGAGGAUGAUCAGCCACACUGGAACUGAGACACGGUCCAGACUCCUACGGGAGGCAGCAGUAGGGAAUAUUGGACAAUGGGCGCAAGCCUGAUCCAGCCAUACCGCGUGGGUGAAGAAGGCCUUCGGGUUGUAAAGCCCUUUUGUUGGGAAGGAAAAGCAGCAGGUUAAUACCCCGCUGUUCUGACGGUACCCAAAGAAUAAGCACCGGCUAACUUCGUG